rnacentral:ribozyme from 18 species
AAGGGGAGAAAGAUCUCUAUUGAAAAGAAAGGCACGGGAUUUGCAUUCUGUUGAAUAUCAAUUCUUUGCUCAUUGUUUUCGUAUUUCUUUCACCUUGCGAAAAAAGCAAAAGAAAUUUCGUGCUACCAGAUACAACAAUGAUGAAGAUAUCGAAGAUUCAUUUC